rnacentral:lncRNA from 1 species
AAGAAAAGCCCAAGAGUUGAGCACUUGAGCUGAUGAUUCGGAGAGAACUUAGCAGUCAAAUCUAUUAAUUUCUCUCCUGCUGUGAUGUAAUAAUAACAUCAAAUUUGAGAGUGGUUCUAUUAGAUCAUUUAUGUAUAUUUGUUGGACUUGGCCACUUUGCUAUCAUUGCGUCAUACCUAGACGAACCUCAAUAAAUACACCAAAGCUUUAUGAAACAACACGUGUACAUCAGGACUCUUCCUUUACUUUUUUUCUAUCAAUUACGUGGUAAGUUUUGAAAUUUAUGGUAAUACAUAAUAGCAACAUGACUCUUUUAGAAUUGGUAUCCACGAACACAGAAUUUCA